CAGCUAGCCGGAGCCGGCAACGUACAGCUCGGCAGGUCGCGCAGCCGCUCCCGUGCAGGGGAAUGGAAGGCAGUCUCACGUUAAGGUGCCGGAAAAACCUAAUUUGAUGCUGAAUUCCCUAGUGACUGAGAUGAAGAGGAAUUACGUCUCGACAGUUAAGCCCAAACCUCUACUGUGGAUGUAGAGUGGAAUCUCCACCCAAGAAGGUGCAACUGUUCAAUGUCAACCCUCCAGCAGGAAGGAAGAAUGAAAGGAACAGAGGAAAGC